CCUCCGCCGCCGCCUGGAAUUUUCCAGACGCUCUGCCGGCCCUUCUUUCGGGCUGCUUCUGGGCGGGGUGACCUGAGGCGACCCCAGAAGUUUCCUUCGACUCGAGAGAACAGCCCCAGCCCGCCUCCGCCAUCUAGCCCCCCCCCGCUCCAGGACCGGAAGCACUUGCUAAGGAGAGUGGGGGAUAAUUGGAGAAUCCGAGAAGGUGGACACCCCGGAAGAACGGGAGCCGCCCCGAAUCGUCUCCUUGGCCAGGGUCGGGGAGGGACUUUUUUUCCGGUGGCAGUGGAGGAGUCGUCCCGUUGAGCAAUGCCCCGGGUAACGCGGCCCAGCCUAUAAAAGCAAAGGUUGUGGCCCGUCCAGCAGGAGUUAGCGAAAGGGAGGGCCGGGGGCCUGGGCUUAGUUUUGGGGGAGGAGUUGGCCAGUUUAGGGUCUCAGGGGACAGGUGGGGGAGAUGGCAGGGUUAGAUGGGACUGGGGGGGUAGGGGUGCCAGGAGAAGGAGGGGUGCCAGGAGAAGGAAGGUUAAAGGGGAGACUAGAUGUUGGGGGAACUGUGCUGGGAAGAGCUGCGUCGGAAGUGCCGACAGUAACCCGGGGGAAGGGCAACACCCCAGGCCUGGCUGUCGCAGCUGCCUGCUGGUGAAGGGGAGCCUGACCUCUAGAAGGGCGCCGCUCCUUUGUAGGCUGAGCGGCCCCCAGUGCCCUGGUUUGUAUGGAAGGAGGAAGGCAGAGAGACAGGAGGAGGAGGCUGAUGGUCUCGCGGCCCUUGCUGGAGGCACACUUGGGCAGUCGACGCCCUGAAAAUGAGCAGGAAGGAAGGCAGUGGGGUACAGGGACGCAGAUGGGCAGGGAGGGCAGAACUUGAACUUGUCAAUACCAGCAGCCCCCUUUUUUUCCAGACAGAGGGUUGUGAACCCGCCUGGGGAUGAGGCCUGGUGUUGUGGAAACUGAACUUAGCUUCGCGGGGCUGACAGUUCUGGCCCAGGGCGGUAUGUAAUUCUGGCUCGGCCUGGGACAUGGUCCAGCCAGACCCAGCUGGGUGGAACCCAGGUCUGGGUGUGAGGGUGGUCUAGGGAGUGAUGGAGGUCAGGUGCCAUCCUGAGCGGUUACUGGUAUGGCGCCUCGUGUAUCUGACAGGCGGGAGCUGUAGGCAGACAAAAUUGACGCCCACUUUAUUUUCCAGGUGGCAGUGCACCCCUUUGGACUUUUCCUCUAGGUUCCAUGCUUACCUCUUCUGUGACCUCACUCUGCCCCUCCUCCUCCCUCUAACUCUCUCGAGGUUACCCCUUCACUUAAAACGUUGCUUCUGGUAAUCUGGUAAGCCGGGAAAGUUGCUGGAGUCCCUGCCGGAGUCGGUGUUGUCGGUAAUCGUGAAGGAGGAGAGGCGUCCCCAGCGGAGACUCUGGGUGGGCGGGUUGGUCUUGCUUGCCGGUGGAGAGGGUGGGGAUUGAAGGUGCACCCUUGGGUGGACCCACAGCGAUGGUACUAGCUGAACGCUACAAAAAUGCUUCAUAGACCGCGGUUUGUUACUGUAGUGUUCAUCAUGACGAGCUGACGGCACCAGGAGAAUGGAGCCCCUGGCCAGUGUGCGUCGUAGCAGUGCAGGAGGGGCGACCCUGGAGGAGGAGAGAGCCCGCCUAAAUUGAUGUCUGCAGAUUGAAUUUCCAGAGGCUUAGGAGGAGGAGGAGUUCUCCAAUGUCCUGUUUCCAGGCCUUGCUCAGGAAUCCCUGUAUUCAUUCAGGAGACCAUCCUUUAAGGUUUUCAGAUGAGCUUGUGAGGGGGCAAUCUUUAAAAGUCCAAAGCAGAUGCAUCCGGGGCCUUCAGCAGAUGUGUUGCUUUGAGUGUGUGAUCCAGGAGCAGCGAUCUCUGGGCACAUGGAUGCCAGCAGGCACCUCUCCUGUUCUGGGGUGGAGGUUUUCAGAUGCUGCAUCUUCUAAAUUCAGCUUCCUGUUGUACUAGUUUUGUGCUACGAACCUUGCUUCCAGAGGACUCUUAAGCUGUAGAACAUUUUAACGCGAUGCCACAACACAGAGUGCUGCCUUGUAGAUGGAGCUUGCAGAUGGAUCCCAGUGACCCUCUCAUCUACCCGCCUGCCUUCCUGUGCAUUGGUCGGAGGAAUUCUUAGUGUGAUGAUAAUCUGUGUGUUGGGAAAGUGUUCAAGAUUGAAAUGAAUGCCUUAGGCAAAUACUUAAGUGAGCCAACUGGCAAAUUGAGGGGGUCAUUGUACUGUGCUGGAGGUACGAGUUGGUCAUGCCCAAAUUGUGAUAGAAAUGGCUGGUCUAGUUUGGGCAUUCCUACUAAGAAGGGAGUGGUCAGGGUACCCAUAGUGAUCUUUGACUCAUCUUGCUCUAUGUACUUUUUAACUUCAAUUUUACUUGAUUAGAUUUCAGAGUAAUCUUAGUGUUUAAAUGGGAGGACCCUGAGGUGAGGGGUGGUGGGGAGGGAAAAGCCUGCCACAGGUGCUGGGAGGGGUGGGCGUGAAGAAAGGGAGAAGGGGGGGAGGGCUGUGGUUAGGUGUGGGUUGUAGUAGAGGGUGGGAGUGGUAGGGGGGAAUGUGGGUUGAAGGGAAUUCUCUGGAGAAAAGAUCAGUAGGCAGAGCUUUGGGGAAUUAUAGAGCUCAUGGGCGAAGAAAAUACUAGUUAAUAGUAAAUUGUUAAUGCUAGUUAAAUUGUUGCUUGGAAGCACAAAAAAAAGUUGCUUGGAAACUUUCUAAAAUGCUUAGAACUCUGCUAAGUGCAGGAGAAAAAGCAAAAUUGUUUUGCUUUGCUGCAAGAUGGGGAAGACUGAAAAGGUAACUGAAGACCUGGUCAUUGGUGAUUUGAAAGAUUGGUGUCAGGAACUUGCAUCAGCAGGUUAACAUCCUUCACUGCUUUCAAGCUUAAGUGGUUUAUCUGGAGGUGUGUGGUAUUUGGGAGAGGUCUUCGAAAAGACUUCAGAUACCCAUAUUGUGGGCUUUUAAAGUAAGCUUGAGAUUUUGGAGUGCACUUAAGAUGGUGAGAUGUACUCUUCUGGGUUUGCAACAUUUUUAUUCACUGAGGUUUUGCAGUUGAAAACUUGAGCAAAGUGAAAAUGCAAUGAAUUCUAAAGGAAUUUUGUGUUACUUUCUGCCUUAUAAGCACAUCUCUUUUUUUCUUUGUGAUGAGUAUUAGAAACAGCAAGAGUUUUUAGUUUUCGUCGUCAUUGUAACAAGGAGAACUUAAUGACUUUUUGUGAUCACUGUAAAAUUACUGUAAUAUUUGGUAGCAAACAAUCCAUGUAGGCUUGCUAAGGUUACAGUUAGUAAUCCACUGUAUCUUUAGUUUGAAUGUUUGUGUUUUUUAAGUGAUAACCGUACUAGAGGGGAAACUAUCAACCAAAAUCAGUUUGGGAAAUAAGCAAAACUGGGGAUGGGGAGGUGCUUUAUUACUAGAUUAUGGUCUGUGAAAAUUCAGGGAAAGAUCUGAAUCCUUUGUGAUAAAGUAAUACCAGUGGCUUUUUUAUCAUGUUCCUCUUCCCAUUGAAUUUCACUUUGAAAAUUUUAAAUCCCCAAUAUUUAUGACACUUGGGAUCUUUCUGGGUUCUCUUUUUAAUGUUUAAAAAUAUGUUGACAUGAUAGUUCAGUUCUUAACCCGUGAUUUGGGCAUGAUACAGUAACUGUCAUUGGAAUUUAAAGAAUACUAGUCAUGCAUGUAUGGGGAAAUGUGUUCCAGUAAGCUGUUGUGAAAUUGAAACUGUAAAAGUAGGAGGAAAAAGUACUUUUAUGUUGCUCUGUAUGGGAAGAACCAGUCUUGUUACACCAUGUAUGUGACUACUAAUCGUUUUUCUUCCCCUUUACAGCAUGAAUAAAGGUUUGAGUUCUAAACUCA